rnacentral:lncRNA from 1 species
CCCUGCCCUGCCGUGGAGGUUCCCUUGCUCUUCGGAUUCUCCCCUAGCGCCUUCUGCUCGCGCCGCAACGUAUCCCCGUCGACGGAGUCGCCUGUAGAGAGAGACAGAGGCAGAGUAAGAGAGAUAGAGGGAGAGAGAGAGAGAGAAGUAAGAGAGCUGUAGAGAGAGAAGAGUAAGAGAAAGAGACAGUCAGAGAGAGAGAGAGAGAUACAGAAGAGAGUGGUGAGAGAAGAGAUUG